AAAAAGGCACUUAAGCACUUCUAGCCUAUUGUCCCACUGUCACUGUCUUGAAAUGGAAACACAUUAUACACAGGAGUAGGAAUGCAUUUUGGAGAUUUUAGAAGGCCUGGUACAGGCAAACUGAACUCUUCUCUCCAUGCCCCAAAGUCUUCUGGAAAACUCAUAUUAAAAUAGCAAACCAAAUAAGCUAAAGUGGAAUGGCAAUCUACUUGUGUGUUUUGGAUCCAUCCCAUGGAAUGCUUUAGUGAAAUAACUCCCUAUGAAAAUCUUUUAAAAAACCCAAAACCAUUAAGACUUUCCUUUUUUAACUAUGUAUAUUUCUUUCAGAUAAACUUUUCCUUUCUGCUCAGCAGCCAAGAAAUUGUGCUUUUUAUGGGGUAGCUGAGGGUUACAUGGGUAAAAUGGACCUAAAUUUUGUGAAUUUUAGCAUGACUGUACCUCAAUUUUGAUUGCCCAUAGGAAUGCAGAUUUUGAAGUGUUGUUCCUAACUUUUCUGUGAUACAAGUGAGGCAAUUUCACUGGAAGCCUACUGAACACAGAGUUUCUUAAAGGAGGCCUUAAUAAAAGCUAAUGUUUGUUUUUGAAAUAUCUCUCAAGCUUCCCUUGGGAGACACAAAGAGAUGCUUCAUUUCCUUACAAUUUCUUUACUUUGGACCUUCUGAAAAUAGGUACUCAAGUUUUGAAUUUUAAAAAGUAAAAAACAAGAUGUUGAGAAAGGAUAGGACUAAAAACCUAGAAUUCUUGAAGAGUCUUGAGUUCAAGAAAAAUAUUUAGGGCACAUCAGCAUCUCAUCCUAGAAUGAGGAUGAGGCAUUCCUGAGCUGUCUUUGGAGCUAGGUGCAGCAUGAUCAUAUUGGAUAAUGUUCCCCUAAAUUAAGUUCUGCUGAAGGACAGGACUUGUUUAAUGCAGAACCAUGUGGGCAUGGCUGACCUGUAUAUAGCUGAGAAAAACACUGUCCCCAUGCAGUGCUGUAGCUGCAUGUCUCUGUUGGCUCUCCAUUGCACAGCUGGUAGGAUCUUUCAGUUCAUGUUUGAAAACAGAUAAGUUUUAACAAGCUUAAACAGACACUUUCAAAAAUCAGUUUCUGAAAAUCAUUGUAGUAGCUCUGUUGAUAAACUCAAUAAUACCCUUUUCAUCCUAGGAAUGGCCUUGCUAAAGAAAACACUUUUCUGAAAAAAAAAAAAAAGAAAAAUAUAAAAAGAAAAGAAAAUUAUAAACCUCAUUAGGAUUAAGACAGAGGAACAAUUCAAUUAAAUCAUCUGCCAAUUAUCUUACUGAUCUGUAAGAUGUUCAGGCUGAUGUUCGGGUUGAAUUCACCCUAUGGGCAUAUGUAUUAUUUUAACACACAGGACAUUCUGCUUUAACUGAUCACACUAUUUCUAAGUAGCUAUCCAUAAAAAAGGGACAAAUAAUUCAAAAUUCAAUGUCUAUCUAAUACAGAAACUGCAGAGAAACAUCUUCUAAAAGGUCAAAAUGACAUAAUGAGGAAAUACAUCAUUUGGGAAGUUGUGGUAAAAGUGUAUUGAAUGACAGUCAUUGUGGAAAAUUCUCAGCUGAUGCCUAUAAACCCAGUCAUAAACCCAUCAGGCCUGUUGAAACCUUGCUAUUGCUAUAGAGUGUUCAGAAAACAAAAACAAAAAAAGAAAAAUUGAUACAUCUACCCUCAAAUACACAGGUCUUUGCUUUGAUAGCAGAGUGUGGGUAUAUUGUUUUCCACAGAAGACAGUGAAGCUGCAUUGUUCAGAACUGUCAAGGGGCAAAGAAUACUCUGCCACAUACAUGGGUUGGGUGUCUUUGGUUGCCUCCCCCCGUGCAUUAGGCACUAAUUCAGCGCCAUCCGUCAGCAGAUGAAUUUUGUUCUAGGUGUCAGUUCUGGUCUCUGUGUAUUAGAUCAGGAUUAUUUUAUAAAGACCUUUUCUUCCAUGUGAAAAUCAUGUGGGUGUCUGAGACUGCUUGAUCUUGAAUUCAGUGAGAAUCUUUGUUCUCACUGUUUGUUUCUAGGCUACAGUAGGUCAGGGUUUUAAAGGCCUGGAUAAAAGCUUUAAUUAUCUUAUCAAUCCAUCAUCAAUGGUCUUGUUUAUUGGAAUAUGCAAUAACCUACUAUUUUUUCUAGCGUGAAAGAUCUUUCUUAACACAAGAGAGCAUUAAGAUGAAAAUAUCUUUGGAGAUGCUCUCAUGGGACUGUUUUUUCCAGUAAACACUCAGUGCCUGCAACAGCUUGUAUGUACAGAAAAUAUUUUCUUGUUGUACUGAAACAAGGCUGUAAGGGUACAAAUGUAUGUUGGUUGUGAAGAACAUCUCGAGCUCAUCUUUAGUCUGUUUCACACACAAGCUUCAUCUAGGUAGGUACUGAAGAAAUACUCCUCAGCCUAGACAAAAACAUACUCUCUGCUUUAAGAAAGAAUGAUCCAUGUGUGAUUUUAUGCUAGCGCUUCACAUGGAUAUAUCUAUGUACAACAUCAUUCUUUCCAUUACUGGUGGGUUCCAUUCUCAUUCCUGGUUUGGCAAAUAACUAAAGGCUUUUAAAAUACCAAAGUCCUACAUCUAACUUUUCCCUCUAUUCGGAAAACGUGUUUCUCCCUCUUCAAAAUUGUUUUACGUUAGCAAAUCUUAAGGUCCUGGCACAGUUCUGAAAAAUACCCUUUUCCUUCUUCAUUUUUUUUUUCUCUGUUGGCUGGAGGUUUUGAUUUUUUAAACCUUUGGCAUUCAGUGCUUUACCAAUCUACCUGAGGCUCUCUGUUGUUCUGUGCCAAAAGCCCACAAUAUCCUUUUUUUUUAGCCUGGUAACUUAGCACAUGGUAUAUGUUACCUUUUACAGCCUUGCCUGGGAAAAAAGGAUUUGUACAUUUUUGGAAGACGGCAGGUUUUCUGUAUCUUUGUAUAGCUCUGUAUAUCUACACACACAAAUUCAUCUGUUCUGAUAGCCAUGCUGUGGCACUACUGAAGCAGCACAUGCUUGAUUAAGUUCACUUACUGGGCUUGGAAUAAGAGACUUGGUGGAGACGUUAUACAAUUCUCUACCAAUUCAUCUGUAUUAGUGGGAGGAAGUUUACUUUUAUGAAAUAAAAUGGUAGCCAUAAAAUAAAAACUGUACUUUUUAGGCCAACCGAUGAUCUUCACAAUUCUGUUUCUUUUUGUUGUUACAGUGUUUGUUCUCAAGAGGAAAGUGUUUAAUGUAUGAAUGCAUGUGUUCUUUAUGUGAUGAUUUCUGCCUGAUAAUAAUUUGCAGAACACACCACAUGCUGCAAAUGCAGCUUUCCAAUAUCUCUGCUGAUAAUUCUCAGUUAAAGAACAGAGCCUGGAAUUCUGUGUUUCAAAAAGUUUUCGGUUUUCUUUCAUUUUUCUUUGUAAAAUCAAAAAUUCUUUGCAGUUUCUUCCUGCUUUGAAGCCAAUUCUUUUCAGGCUUUCUGCUAUCUCAGCAAACCUUUCACUUGCUUUUUCAAGUGGACUGUUUAGACAUGCAACAAGUUACAGAUUUCAGUCCUCUGCACACAGCAAAGCUGUUCCUCAUUUCUCAUUGCUGAUACCACGACAUGCUCAACUUAUCCACUCUCAUAGUCCUCGCUUAAGCUCUUAAACUUGUCAACUGUUUCCAGAUUUUUAAUUUUUUUUUAAUCCUGGUUCCAGCUGUAAAGUAGGUUAUUCAGAGUUAGAAUAAGAUUAAGUUUUUCAGAUCUUAUUCCCAAAAUAUGUCACUUAGUAUCAACUCAAAUAGUUUUGAGCAGUUCCAAAAGCUAAAACUAUGCAGAAUAAUCAAAUAUACAAUUUUUUAAAAAAUCCUUUCUUUUUUUUUUUAAUUUUUUUUCCAGCAACAUAACUACCUUUAAGUACAUGUUGAAUCGAGAAGUAAACUUGAAUUAGUGUUCUGGGAUCACUUCUUAUUCGGUACUCUCAGUCAAGAAUUGGACACAUUUGUCAUAUGAGGAUCUGUACAAGGGACAGUCUGGCACAGUGACUCUCAACGCCUGACAGUGUGUUCUGCAGGAAUACAGCUAACUGCUGAGACAUGAGUAGCCUCAUUUUUGAGGCUGAGCAGGGAACACUUCUGAGUCCGUGUGCAUUAAACUGCUGCACGUAUUUCUGCAAGAUGGGAAGCUGAGAUGAGCAUUUGUAAAAAUUACCAUUCUGCUUCUUUGUGUAUAAAUAGUUGGUUUAAGUCUCAAUUCCAAAAUUUGUUCCAGAAAAA